rnacentral:rRNA from 1 species
UACGUAGGGGGCAAGCGUUGUCCGGAUUUAUUGGGCGUAAAGAGCGUGUAGGCGGUCCGGUAAGUCCGCUGUGAAAGUCGGGGGGCUCAACCCUCGGAUGCCGGUGGAUACUGUCGGGCUUGAGUACGGAAGAGGCGAGUGGAAUUCCUGGUGUAGCGGUGAAAUGCGCAGAUAUCAGGAGGAACACCAAUUGCGAAGGCAGCUCGCUGGGACGUUACUGACGCUGAGACGCGAAAGCGUGGGGAGCAAACAGG